CCGGCGACCGGCGCACGGGUGAGUAACACGUAUGCAACCUGGCCGUGACAGAUGGAUAACCGGGAGAAAUCCCGCCUAAUACAGCAUGACGCCGGGAAGGGACAUCCCUUUCCGGCCAAAGGGGGCGACUCCGGUCACGGAUGGGCAUGCGGCGCAUUAGGUAGUUGGUGGGGCAACGGCCCACCAAGCCGACGAUGCGUAGGGGUUCUGAGAGGAAGGCCCCCCACACUGGUACUGAGACACGGACCAGACUCCUACGGAAGGCAGCAG
rnacentral:rRNA from 1 species